rnacentral:misc_RNA from 1 species
ACGUGCCAGUUGAUGGCGACAAGCUGCAUCUGUGAACCAGUGAUAGACACAAUCUGGCCCAACCAGAGAAGCCUAAAAUCGCGGUGACGUAAAGCAGCAAAGGCCGAAUGAUUGGAAGAGCUCACGUAUCGCCGUACGACUCGUUCAACUUACGGAAAUGGUAGGCCAUCGCCGCAUGGCGUAGCAACUCCGUCAUCCGAUCGCGAUGUUUGUGCGCC